AAAAACGAGAGACCCCACAAGGGUUGUUGAAUCCAUACAGCUUGCGCGAGACGAUCGAAGGGGAUCCUGUGUGUGCGGUGAUCGUGAUUGUUUGCUGUGUUGUGUCGUACGAGAUGGCAAUGCAAAGCCCUUACGACCAGGUAACCAAGGGAUACGUCGCAACGCGGCCCCGGUAUCCCGACCAGUGGUUCUCCAAGCUCUCCGCUUUGACCUCCCGCCAUGCCUUGGCUUGGGACGCCGGCACUGGCAACGGCCAAGCCGCCAUCGCGGUCGCAGAACAUUAUGAGCGAGUGAUUGCGACUGACAUAAGUGAACCCAUGCUGAAGCAGGGGAUCCCACACCCUCGAGUUCAGUACUUACACACUCCGCCAUCCCUGUCCGAAGACGAAAUGGUGGCAAUGCUUGGGGGUGAGAACUCGGUCGAUUUGAUCACGGUGGCCACUGCCGUCCAUUGGUUUGACAUCCCAAAGUUCUACUCUGUUGCCAAACGGGUCCUCCGCAAGCCCGGAGGCGUGAUCGCCGUUUGGACCUACACUGACAUGAUCGAAGUCAAUCCCGAAUUUGAACGUAUACUAAGACGUCUGCGCGAAGCCUGUAAGCCGUAUUGGAAGCCAGGAGCACAGUACUUCUUCGAAGAGUAUCGAAACCUUCCAUUUCCGUUUGAGAGUGUGGGUUUAGGUUGUGAAGGACAACCUGCUCAGCUAGAAAUGCCAAGGGAAAUGAGUUUUGAGACGUUGCUGAGUGUCCUGAGGACCGCGUCGGCAGUAGCGACGGCCAAGCAGCAUGGUGUGGACCUGUUGACCGAUGAUGUCGUGAAAGAGUUUGAGACUGCUUGGGGCGGAUCGGAUUUGGUCAGAACUGUCAAGUCCAAGGUUUUUAUGCUCGCCGGAACCGUGAAAGCUUAAAAGAUCUCUGUUUCUCGGUGCUUUGGGGAGCUCGUUACUGAUAAAAUCUUCCUAAAUUACGCCUCCAUUAAAUAAUGUUCCAGAGUUGGAGAACGUGCAUCAGCAGCAGCAUCUACUUGUAGAUGCCCCUCCUGAGCACAAACUUGUUGUGAGAGUUCAUCAUUAAGUAGUCUCAGAGAAUUAUAUACGAGCCAGGGGAAGAUGAUUACAGCCACUACCGUUCCAGUAUCCCAUGAACAAUUAAUGGUCACAGAAAUCAGUCUUUUGCAGACUCAUCGCAGAAACCCGUAGACAGACGACUAGACAGAAAAGGGAGGAGCAACAUAAGGCACAGCGCCAACUUCGCCUGUGCCAUUCUGCAUAGCGGCUAUGCUGGAGGCAGCACACAUGGAUCAGGCAAGGGUGGGACUAACAGCAAAUCGGAAUCAUCAUCUCCAAAAGGCGGUGCAGCUGUGAUCCCCAUGUAUGCUGGUUCUGCUGGUGCUAACAACCACCACCACCAAAGUGCCCUCCACGGUUCCAUAGCCCUGCACGAGUCCACGCUCUCACUGGAGCAGUACUGGCCCUCUGCUGUGUUUUCCUAUAGAAUGUUUGCAUUUGAUGGCGCAAAUUUCUCAAUAGAUCUUUGUGUACAUUGAGACAGUAACUUAAAACUCUGCAAUAAAUUCAAACGUUUAGCCUUUUCCCA